AACGAACGCUGGCGGCAUGCCUAACACAUGCGAGUCGAACGAGAUCUUCGGGUCUAGUGGCGCACGGGUGCGUAACGCGUGGGAAUCUGCCCUUUGGUUCGGAAUAACAGUUGGAAACGACUGCUAAUACCGGAUGAUGACGAAAGUCCAAAGAUUUAUCGCCAGAGGAUGAGCCCGCGUAGGAUUAGCUAGUUGGUGUGGUAAAGGCGCACCAAGGCGACGAUCCUUAGCUGGUCUGAGAGGAUGAUCAGCCACACUGGGACUGAGACACGGCCCAGACUCCUACGGGAGGCAGCAGUGGGGAAUAUUGGACAAUGGGCGAAAGCCUGAUCCAGCAAUGCCGCGUGAGUGAUGAAGGCCUUAGGGUUGUAAAGCUCUCUUACCCGGGAUGAUAACGACAGUACCGGGAGAAUAAGCUCCGGCUAACUCCGUGCCAGCCGCCGCCGUAA
rnacentral:rRNA from 1 species